rnacentral:lncRNA from 1 species
UAACAGAGGCCAUUUUUUGUUCAAUUUCACAUAGUUUGGUAUUUUUGACUCUUUUCCGUAUAAAAAAAGGUUUUUUGAUUUAAUUUAACCUCCUUUUUUGGUUUUCAUUUUUUGCUUUAGAAUACCGACUAACUGAUUCCCCAUGAAAUGGUACUCUCUCUGUCCCUAAUUACUUGUCCACUUUUGAAUUGACACACAUAUUAAGAAAGCAAUGAUUGACAUAGUAAGUUUACUAUUUUACUAUUAAUUAUGAAGGAGAUGAAUUAAAAACUUAAGAUUUUCAAAAAGUUGUACCUUUUUCAAAAGAUAUAUUGAGCACCUUAUUUAACCUAAUAUUGAGCACCUUGUUGAUCAGACAAGUAGAAAUGAUACAAAGCAAGGGUCAUCAAAAGAAACAAUACAAAGCAAGAUUGAAUAAAUGAACCUUCAUCCAAGUACGAACAAGAUUGAAAGAAUCAAAUCACUUUAACGAAAGCAUUAUGGUUCAUCACAAUCCUAGCUAGAACGUUUAGUUACAAAUCAUAUCCAAGAACAACGCAAAACAUAUGUAGAUGAAAACUAUCCAUCAAAAUAUUCUUCGUAUCGAAGAAAAAGCCCAAGAGUUAUUCUCCAUAAAAAUGCUUAGAUCUUAAGAAUCAAAAGAUGACUAUUUAAGGCUUGCUGUUAGAGAGUUGAGGUCACAAUGGCCCUGAUAAAAAAGAAAAAAAAAGGAAACGAGAGCUGCAGUCACAAUUUCCAUCUCAGUUUGAAUGCUAGCUCGAAUCAAUUUCAGCACUUCAAUUUGGCAGUCCUCAGUCGGUAAUUAAGGUGCUGCAGUCGAUGCACUACUUGGAACUCUUGUCUGCGGUUGCAGGCUCAGUGGGACAUCCCUUUUUCUCACUCUGUUCUCAUUGUCUAAUGUUUCCUUUUUGCUUUCUCAUUACCACUUUUUAUCUAUCCUUCUUCCCAUGCAUAAAAAACACAACCAUGAGAUUCAUCCUCAAAUUGAUUAAAAAUCACUUAACAAUAAGCGCAAAAUUGUUCCUUGAUAGGGGAAUUGCCAGACAUUAUGCAAAAUAUCACAUUUAUCCGGUGGUUCAUGCAGUUCAACACUAUCUGUUUGUCAUUUUGACUAAUUUAUGAAGUACAUCAUGCAUGACUUAAUUUGUAUUUUUAAAAUAUAAAUCUACAUGCAUAUAAAAGAUAUCACCA